UACGUAGGGAGCAAGCGUUUGUCCGGAAUCAUUGGGCGUAAAGCGCGCGUAGGUGGCUUCGUAAGUCCGUUGUGAAAGUCAAAGGCUCAACCUUUGAAUGCCGAUGGAUACUGCAGAGCUAGAGUACGGAAGAGGCGAGUGGAAUUCCUGGUGUAGCGGUGGAAUGCGCAGAUAUCAGGAGGAACACCAAUAGCGAAGGCAGCUCGCUGGGACGUUUACUGACACUAAGGCGCGAAAGCGUGGGGAGCGAACAGG
rnacentral:rRNA from 1 species